UACGUAGGGGGCGAGCGUUGUCCGGAUUUAUUGGGCGUAAAGAGCUCGUAGGCGGUUCGGUAAGUCGAAUGUGAAAUCUCCACGCUCAACGUGGAGGGGUCAUUCGAAACUGCCGUGACUUGAGUACGGUAGGGGAGUGUGGAAUUCCCGGUGUAGCGGUGAAAUGCGCAGAGAUCGGGAGGAACACCCGUAGCGCAGGCGGCACUCUGGGCCGAUACUGACGCUGAGGAGCGAAAGCGUGGGGAGCAAACAGG
rnacentral:rRNA from 1 species